AUUGAACGCUGGCGGCAGGCCUAACACAUGCAAGUCGAACGAGUGGCGGACGGGUGAGUAAUGUCUGGGAAACUGCCCGAUGGAGGGGGAUAACUACUGGAAACGGUAGCUAAUACCGCAUACCAUCGGAUGUGCCCAGAUGGGAUUAGCUUGUAGGUGAGGUAACGGCUCACCUAGGCGACGAUCCCUAGCUGGUCUGAGAGGAUGACCAGACACAUUGGAAAUGAGACACGGGUCAGACUCCCAGGGGAGGCAGCAGGGGGGAAUAGUGCAAAAUGGGUGCAAGCCUGAGGCAGGCAUGCCGUGUGUAUGAAGAAGGCCUUCGGGUUGGAAAGUACUUUCAGCGGGGAGGCGUUACCCGCAGAAGAAGCACCGGCUAACUCCGGGCCAGCAGCCGCGGUAAGAC
rnacentral:rRNA from 1 species